UACGUAGGGGGCAAGCGUUGUCCGGAAUUAUUGGGCGUAAAGCGCGCGCAGGCGGUUUAUUAAGUCUGAUGUGAAAGCCCACGGCUCAACCGUGGAGGGCCAUUGGAAACUGGUAGGCUUGAGUGCAGGAGAGGAGAGUGGAAUUCCUGGUGUAGUGGUGAAAUGCGCAGAUAUCAGGAAGAACACCCGUGGCUAAGGCGGCUCUCUAGUACGGUACUGACGCUGAGACGCGAAAGCGUGGGGAGCGAACAGG
rnacentral:rRNA from 1 species